GAUGAACGCUGGCGGCGUGCUUAACACAUGCAAGUCGAACGGAAAGGCUCCUGCUUGCAGGGGUACUCGAGUGGCGAACGGGUGAGUAACACGUGGGUCAUCUGCCCUGCACUUCGGGAUAAGCCUGGGAAACUGGGUCUAAUACCGGAUAGGACGAUGGUUUGGAUGCCAUUGUGGAAAGUUUUUUCGGUGUGGGAUGAGCUCGCGGCCUAUCAGCUUGUUGGUGGGGUAAUGGCCUACCAAGGCGUCGACGGGUAGCCGGCCUGAGAGGGUGUACGGCCACAUUGGGACUGAGAUACGGCCCAGACUCCUACGGGAGGCAGCAGUGGGGAAUAUUGCACAAUGGGCGCAAGCCUGAUGCAGCGACGCCGCGUGGGGGAUGACGGCCUUCGGGUUGUAAACUCCUUUCGCUAGGGACGAAGCGCAAGUGACGGUACCUGGAGAAGAAGCACCGGCUAACUACGUG
rnacentral:rRNA from 1 species